GCGAAAGAUAAACACACAGUGACAGGAGGACUGGGAUUACACAUACAGAGACGAAGCAAGACGAAUCGGAAAUGAAACAAAGUUAACCAAAGCGGCUCAAAU